CGUCGCCUAUGCAAGUUGAUCAUUCUUAUCAACCAGAGUCUCCUCAACCUGUGGUUGAAAAAGUGCUAAUAUCAGAGGAUAAUGAAGUGCUAAUAUCAGAGGAUAAUGAUGCACCGGGUGCAGACUCGAAGGUUGUUCAAUCAAAGCAGGAUGCAAUGUUGCUUCCAGAAUGCCAUCAGAACUCAACUGUUCAAAUUUCCCCAAGCUAUGGUUUUGGGAUCAUGCCACCCUUGCAGGCUGCUCACCCUG
rnacentral:lncRNA from 1 species